rnacentral:rRNA from 1 species
UACGAAGGGGGCUAGCGUUGCUCGGAAUUACUGGGCGUAAAGCGCACGUAGGCGGCUUGUUAAGUCAGGGGUGAAAUCCUGGAGCUCAACUCCAGAACUGCCUUGAUACUGGCGAGCUUGAGUUCGGGAGAGGUGAGUGGAACUGCGAGUGGUAGAGGUGAAAUUCGUAGAUAUUCGCAAGAACACCAGUGGCGAAGGCGGCUCACUGGCCCGA